rnacentral:rRNA from 1 species
GGUUGACCUCGGAUCAGGUAGGAAUACCCGCUGGAACUUAAGCAUAUCAAUAAA